AUGCCCAACGGGGCCUCGGAUACCUGCUGUUAUUAUU
ensembl:misc_RNA